UCUCUUAUUACUCAAUGUGUGCGAUUUGUUUUUGCUACUGCAUGUUUUCUUUUUGCCGAUUGAUUGCAACAAUCCAACUUUGUUCGAUUAUUAGUGUUUGUUGCCUUUUUAGUAAUAUCGUUUGGAGGUCCAAAUGUAACACACUACUUUUGUGUAACCAGGACGAAGGACUGACCCACAAGCUACAGCAAGUGAACAUCUUUAUUCCGGUAUUCUUAUCAUAAGACUUCUUGGUCCCAC
rnacentral:lncRNA from 1 species